rnacentral:sRNA from 1 species
UGGGGUUCAAGAAGCUUUCUACCUCACUGACCGGGUCAUGACGGUGUCCUUCCACAAAUAUGGAAAUUACUUCUUCCCUGGCACAGGUGACAUGUAUGAAGUCGGGGCAGAGAGUGGCCGCUACUACUGUCUGAACGUGCCCCUGCGGGAUGGCAUUGAUGACCAGAGUAAGUACCGAAGUCUUCCCUCUGUUCCCUAGGCCCCUUCUUUUUCUCCUUGAAAUAACCUCUUCUGCCUGGUAUUGUCUGCUGUUGGGCCAGUUGUCCUUAAGGAUGAAUGGCCUCCAGAGGGACCAUGAAUCUCUGGAAAUUGUAUGCAACAUAUCAUGUGUAUGUGCAUUUUUCUGGGAAAAGUCAUUGGCUUUCAUCAGUCACUCAUAGCAGUCUGGGAUCCCUUCCAGAAGUUUCAGACCAGUGAUUUGAUUCUUUUGGGUUGCCCCUUUCCUGGGCUACAUGCUCGCUCAACCCCCUUUUUCCUUUUGUUCCCUGUCUCCCCAUCCCCUUGGGGUGCCAGGUGCCCAUCUUUGGCCCUCUCCCAGGUUACAAGCACCUUUUCCAGCCGGUUAUCAACCAGGUAGUGGACUUCUACCAACCCACGUGCAUUGUGCUCCAGUGUGGAGCUGACUCUCUGGGCUGUGAUCGAUUGGGCUGCUUUAACCUCAGCAUCCGAGGGCAUGGGGAAUGCGUUGAAUAUGUCAAGAGCUUCAAUAUCCCUCUACUCGUGCUGGGUGGUGGUGGUUAUACUGUCCGAAAUGUUGCCCGCUGCUGAAUACUUCGAGUACU